UGUGGCUCUGAGACAACCAGCCUUGUUGCUGAGCACUGUGAUUUUUUUUCAGCAACCAGGCAACUUGUUUAAACCACCAAAGAGCAGAGGCAGAGCCUGCAAGAAGCUGAGGCCAGCUGCAAAGUUUUGCAGAAGACUCCCACUUCCAAAGCAAACCAAAAAGUCAGGGUACAGUGAUGGUGCAUCUAUGGAUUUUUUUUUCUAUUUUUUUUUUUUGAGAUCAGCUGCUAAGGAAAUAAAACCCCAUGCAAUUUCCAGCAAUGAAAAGUGAAUCAGUUCUUUUGCUUAAAAAACCCCCAAAACCUCAUUUUCAUAUUUCCAUAUUUAAUUUUUGCACUUGCAUGUAAAUUUCUGUUAUCUUCCAGCCACAUGUUGCUAUUUGUCUCAGUAGUGAAGGAUUUUUUUUCCUUUUUUUUUUUUUGACUGUGGACUAUGUGAAGCCUGACUUGCAUGUAAAAGAUCCACAGGGAAAAAAAUCCUCCAGUCCUCACUGAAUUAAAGAGAGCUGGCAUGCCACAGGAUUGUGGGAGCACCCCACACUCAACACCACCUUGGAUGGCACAUGGAGCAGGCACGGAGGAUCACACACCUACAGACCAAUAUUUCGUGGCCAGUGCAAAGUCCCACAGCAGAUCAACAGACAUGGGCAAUGGGAGGCUGAAAAAAAUUACCAGCCACUUUCUCUUCCAAAAAUCAGCCAGUUUUGGCCAACUAAACACUGUUUAGCACUCAGCUGGUAACUCUGCAGCUUCUACAGAGUACAACUACCUAAACUCUGGCAAAAUGAGAGCUCUGAGAUUUAUGAGACCAUUCCAGGCAAUUUCACUGCAUUUAGGUUGUUGUUUAUGUUAGUCAGCCCUCAGCUAUCUGCCUUUCAAUGAGAUUCAGGCUUGCAAGAUAUUUGGGUGCUUUUGAAAAGGUUACAUGCAGUCAAAAGCAGGCAGCCAGACUCCUGAACUCAGCCAGAGCUAGUGAGGCAGCUCAGCCUUACAAUAUGUCUUAACCCAGCGGCAGCAGUGCUUGGACAGACAUCAUUUCUGUUGUGCUUGUUGGCAGACAAGAUUUCAGACAGACUCUGGUUAUGAUUUAGUUUUGGUCUACAUGUUCAGUGCUCAGUCAAAAUCCUUGUGCAGCCAACACAGCGACUGCCUUCAAUAGGAGAGAGAGUAAAUGCAAUGUUUUCAGUUUGAACAAUAUUUCAGUUGCUGUUUUGUCAGUGGACCAGAGCCACUCUUUAACUGCUCCAAUCUGCUCCCAGGCUGCAGACAGCUCUGGUUUGUCCACAUAAAGUAUGUUCAGUGAACUAGUCCUGCAAGUUUGCAGAGGGGACAUACCUCCAGCUUCACUGUGUCAGUGUUUCUUCUGGUGCCAUCACAGGACUGCCAAACCCACCAGUGUUCCCGCUCUCUGCACCUGCAGCAGGAAAAAAGGUUUAACAAGGGUUCUUCCAGCCCUGAUGACAAAGCUGGAACUCAAAAAACACAACAGUGCACGUUGUGUAUCACCUGGUAUUGAUCUCCUUCCCUUCUUGUUCUUCGUUUUCUGUAUCUCUAUAUUUAUAAGUCUUCCCUCCAUGGCACCCAGGUGCCAGCUAAGCCAUGCAACUGCAAUUCCCGAGGUUUGAGAAGCAACUAUUGAUAAUGUAUGAAGACUACGAUACUUUUUAUGGGAAUUGACAGGUUUUGAACUUAAAGAGGCUAUGAGUAAAACCAGUGUUAAAGUGAGACUCUGAAAAAUUAAGGACAAAGUAAUGGGCUUUUAUGCAUUUUUUUCAACUUCCAAAUGUACCUGCAACUAAUAUUAAAUUAUCACUAUAAAUAUUACACAUUAUAAAGACACUAGAUUACUAUUUCUAGUGUAAGGGGCAAAAAAGCAUGGGUUUCUUUUUUCUUCUGAGCUGGGGAGUGUUUGUGUGUCAUUUGGCACUUUAAAGGUUAGCCUGUUCCUACGAAAAUCUUGAAAUUCAGCCAAAGACAUCCUGGUAUUACACACUUUUCUCCUGAAUCCCUAUUCAUGUAGCAUUUUCCUUCUGGAGCAGUUAACAUAAAAGGUCUUGGUUAAAAGAAGCUUUCCUCUUGGAAAAGAUAAUCUGCCUUCAAAGUUAUAAGUUAAACAACUGAGUGGUCUAAUUGAUUGAACAUUUACAAAUUAUAAUUGAAUUUGUGCCAAACUAUGUGAAAAAGAUUUAUGUUCCGCUUCCCAUUCUGUUUACCCCUCAUUUUUUUGUGUGUGUGUGCAUGUGUGAACUGAAUCUUUGGGAACUCCUUUCACUUGACGCAUCAUUGAGGUGGUUAAACACAUUGCAUUAUGGCAGUCUGUCACAUCAGUGUUUCACACUGAAAUACUGGACUUGACACAUCCCUGGAAAAGGAAGCCAGACCAUCCAAAAUCCAGAGUUAUGCUGCUUUUGAAACUUGAGAUUCUGAAGACAGAAUUUUCACUUAGCUCCAACUGCAAGGGAAGAAAAAAGGAGGGGAAAAAAAAGGUUUAAGUAAAUAUAAUGCAGCUUUUUAAGCAUAAAAAAGAAUUUUCAUGAAAAUAAUAGUGUCUUGAUUGUCCUGCUUAUGAGUGGAGACAGCCAACUCUCCGUAAAUACUCAUAUUUAUUUUGGUGAUCCUCUGUGAAGUAAUUAUGGAAGGACAAUAAGGGGGACAGAAUCUGAGUCUCCAGCAAACAAAAUGCAAUGCAUUGCCAUAUUUCUAUGCAACAAUUUCUUGAAUAUGAGGAGUUCAAAAGCACGUGAACUCUUACCUGAGCCCUUGAUGAUGAUGAUGAAAAUUUAGCCAAUGAACAACAUUCUUGAGAGAAUGUUUCUUUCAACAGGAUGUGAUCUAAUAUUCAGAUGAAGACCUGUAGUAGUUUCAGGGCUGUAUCUUGUAUUUGCAAAGGAAGAAUUGCAAGUCCAUUGAAAUGCAAAGCUUUAAAUCUUGUUUUCCUAUGCAUGAACCCAAAAAUAAUUUUAAAAUCUUCUACCACAUUCUUCAGUUUAGCCCAUUCUCACACUAUAACACUGCCCAGACAAGUCCACUGAUCAUACACAAGACUGAAUAUGAUCACCUUCUUCUCUAAUCAGAGAGUAUCAAAAUUUCUUUUUGCUGAUUUCAUCACAAAAAAAAAAAAAAAAAGAAAA